GGGCCCGUAGUCUAGCGGCAUGACGCCGCCCUUACAAGGCGGAGGUCCGGGGUUCGAAUCCCCGCGGGCCCA
rnacentral:tRNA from 1 species